UGAAACCCUGAUCUGAUUAAAAGAAAACGAGAACUAACCCGCGCGUGGCAAAUACAAAUUCUUGGAAAGGUGAAAUAAUGAAGCAUUCCUAGGUUUGUUAGUAAAUUAUAGAAUUUGAUUUCUUUGUUGUUGAUCACAUGUUAGUUGUUUGUGUAUAAUUUUUUUGUAUUUUUUUUUUUAUAUAUUUGGGCUUGAUUUUAUUUUCCCCUUUUUUAUUUUUGUUUACUGUUUGGCUGCUUUGAAACCUGAGCUGAAGAAAGGAGAGGAAAAACUGAAACUUUUUGAAAGCCCCAGCCCCCCUCCCCACCCCACCGCACCACACUCCGCUCGUAAAAAGCCUUUAUGAUAUUGAGUUUUGGAUUUUCAAACCCAAGCCCAUUAUGAGUUUUUUUUUUUCUUUUCAUUUUUAAUCACUUUUUGCAAGUUGCAUAUGGAAACAUUGAACAGGACAAAUGGGUUUUUUUCUCAACUGGAACAACAGCUCACAUUUUCAUUCUGACCCUUUCUUACCUUGUCAUUACCAUAUUUCCCUAGUUGAUAUUUCAAAAUAAUUUGCUUAAUGUUCCAGGGUUGCAGAUAACAUUUUUGCUUUUCUAAUAAAUCAAACGACUGAAAUUUUUUCCUCUCUAGAAAUAUGGGAUGGCAGGUGUUUCCAACAGUUUUGUCCGGCCCAAUGAGAACUAUUGCUUCUGUAGUUGUCACCAUUUGGAGCUACCUUUUUUUUAUGCAUUUGUUUUUUUAAAUUUUUUGAUAGGCAAACAAAAAAACCAUGUAUUGAUUAAAAAAA
rnacentral:lncRNA from 1 species